GACGAACGCUGGCGGCGUGCUUAACACAUGCAAGUCGAACGGAAAGGCCCUGCUUUUGUGGGGUUCUCGAGUGGCGGACGGGUGAGUAACACGUGAGUAACCUGCCCUUGACUUUGGGAUAACUUCAGGAAACUGAGGCUACUACCGGAUAGGAGCUCCUGCUGCAUGGUGGGGGUUGGAAAGUUUCGGCGGUUGGGGAUGGACUCGCGGCUUAUCAGCUUGUUGGUGGGGUAGUGGCUUACCAAGGCUUUGACGGGUAGCCGGCCUGAGAGGGUGACCGGGGACAAUGGGACUGAGAUACGGACCAGACGCCAACGGGAGGCAGCAGGGGGGAAUAUGGCACAAUGGGCGGAAGUCUGAUGCAGCAACGCCGGGGGCGGGAAGACGGUCUGUGGGGUGUAAACCGCUGUCGGCUGUGACGAAGCGUGAGUGACGGUAAUGGGUAAAGAAGCACCGGCUAACUACGUG
rnacentral:rRNA from 1 species